GACGAACGCUGGCGGCGUGCUUAACACAUGCAAGUCGAACGGAAAGGCCCUGCUUUUGUGGGGUGCUCGAGUGGCGAACGGGUGAGUAACACGUGAGUAACCUGCCCUUGACUUUGGGAUAACUUCAGGAAACUGGGGCUAAUACCGGAUAGGAGCUCCUGCUGCAUGGUGGGGGUUGGAAAGUUUCGGCGGUUGGGGAUGGACUCGCGGCUUAUCAGCUUGUUGGUGGGGUAGUGGCUUACCAAGGCUUUGACGGGUAGCCGGCCUGAGAGGGUGACCGGCCAGAGGAGGGAGGGGGGAGGGCCACGGACGGUGGGGGAGGCGGCAGUGGGGAAGAGGGGACGAGGGGCGGAGGCCUGAGGCGGCAACGCGGGGUGUGGGAGGGCGGGCGGGGGGGGAGCAGCCGCUGUCGCCGGUGGGGGGGAGUGGGUGACGGUAAGGGGAAAAGAAGCACCGGCUAACUACGGGGCAGCGGCCGAGGUAAUAAGCGGAAGAGCACCUGUCCGAAC
rnacentral:rRNA from 1 species